UACGUAGGGUGCGAGCGUUAAUCGGAAUUACUGGGCGUAAAGCGUGCGCAGGCGGUUCGUUAUGUCCGAUGUGAAAGCCCCGAGCUCAACUUGGGAAUGGCAUUGGAAACUGGCGGGCUGGAGUGUGGCAGAGGGGGGUGGAAUUCCACGUGUAGCAGUGAAAUGCGUAGAGAUGUGGAGGAAUACCGAUGGCGAAGGCAGCCCCCUGGGCCAAUACUGACGCUCAUGCACGAAAGCGUGGGGAGCAAACAGG
rnacentral:rRNA from 1 species